CUCUUCUUCCCUUAUUGUCGAGAAAUUUUACACUAUCACACUUACACCACGUCAUUAAUAAUAAGUCAAUUAUAUUUCUUCUUUUCAAAUAAAAGUGUAAUAAUUUUUUUUUUUUAUAAUCAUGAUGGAACAUCUAUCUCUAAAAGAAAAUUUUUGAUUGAUUUGUUACGCCACGUCACCAAUAUAUUCGUUGCAUUCUAGAAUUUUUCCUUCUUGUCCUCUCUCUCUCUCUCUCUACUCUCUAGGAAUUAUUGCUUAAACCUAGUGCAGUCUUGCCUAGGAAUGCGCACGGGACGGAUUUCAAUCGGAAUGAAUUCUGAACAGUUGCGAAUUUUUAACGGAUCGAAACGAAUCAAAAGGAAAAAUACAUCUGUCGUCUCCAACUCUAUUUAUUUCAAGACGAAUUAUAUUUUCCUACAAUUUUGAUUCCAUUCGGGAUGGAUCGGCAUAGGAGCUCUACCAACCUAAAUCCAUUUACACUCCUAAUUUUGCCCUUUUAGCAAAUUCAUGUACCACUUUCUUCACUGCGCGCGUCAACCAGUUAAAAUUUUUUAUAAUAUUACGGAUGUCAAACAUAUUAAUUAACAAUAUAUAAAGAGAAUAUUCUAUAAUAUUAGUAAAUGUUUGUUAAUAAAUUCAUAUAAUCCGGUCAAAAUAUCU
rnacentral:lncRNA from 1 species